rnacentral:rRNA from 1 species
AUUGAACGCUGGCGGCAUGCUUUACACAUGCAAGUCGAACGGCAGCGCGGGCUUCGGCCUGGCGGCGAGUGGCGAACGGGUGAGUAAUACAUCGGAACGUGCCCAGUAGUGGGGGAUAGCUCGGCGAAAGCCGGAUUAAUACCGCAUACGACCUGAGGGUGAAAGCGGGGGAUCUUCGGACCUCGCGCUAUUGGAGCGGCCGAUGGCCGAUUAGCUAGUUGGUGGGGUAAAGGCCUACCAAGGCGACGAUCUGUAGGUGGUCUGAGAGGACGACCAGCCACACUGGGACUGAGACACGGCCCAGACUCCUACGGGAGGCAGCAGUGGGGAAUUUUGGACAAUGGGCGAAAGCCUGAUCCAGCAAUGCCGCGUGUGUGAUGAAGGCCUUCGGGUUGUAAAGCACUUUUGGCGGGAACGAAAAGGACUGUGCCAAUACCACGGUUCGAUGACGGUACCCGCAGAAUAAGCACCGGCUAACUACGUG